rnacentral:rRNA from 1 species
CCUACGGGUGGCUGCAGUGGGGAAUAUUGGACAAUGGGCGAAAGCCUGAUCCAGCCAUGCCGCGUGUGUGAAGAAGGCCUUCGGGUUGUAAAGCACUUUCAGUGGGGAAGAAAGCCUUGGGGCUAAUACCCUCGAGGAAGGACAUCACCCACAGAAGAAGCACCGGCUAACUCCGUGCCAGCAGCCGCGGUAAUACGGAGGGUGUGAGCGUUAAUCGGAAUUACUGGGCGUAAAGCGCGCGUAGGCGGUCUGAUAAGCCGGUUGUGAAAGCCCCGGGCUCAACCUGGGAACGGCAUCCGGAACUGUCAGGCUAGAGUGCAGGAGAGGAAGGUAGAAUUCCCGGUGUAGCGGUGAAAUGCGUAGAGAUCGGGAGGAAUACCAAUGGCGAAGGCGGCCUUCUGGACUGACACUGACGCUGAGGUGCGAAAGCGUGGGUAGCAAACAGGAUUAGAUACCCCUGUAGUC